rnacentral:lncRNA from 1 species
GGACAAGUGAGACUUGUAAGCAGUUUAGAAGACCUAAUGAGAGGUAGAGUGGAAAGGGUUUUAGAGGAAAAAUAAAGAUUUUGGAGAGAUAGACCGUUGAUUCGGAGAAGAGGGUUUGAAGCUAGGGUAAGUUUGAUCUACUCAAAUGAAGAAGAAAAGGAAGAGGGAUUAAGUUUCAAAAAGGGUGAUUUGAAGGGAGAAACAUGGUGGGAAGAGAGAUUUUAAGAGAUUUUUGCAGUUGAGAGAGUGGAGAAGGAGGAGGUUUUUGUUCGGUGG